rnacentral:rRNA from 1 species
AUUGAACGCUGGCGGCAUGCUUUACACAUGCAAGUCGAACGGCAGCGCGGGCUUCGGCCUGGCGGCGAGUGGCGAACGGGUGAGUAAUACAUCGGAACGUGCCCAGUUGUGGGGGAUAGCUCGGCGAAAGACGGAUUAAUACCGCAUACGACCUGAGGGUGAAAGCGGGGGAUCUUCGGAUCUCGCGAUAUUGGAGCGGCCGAUGGCAGAUUAGCUAGUUGGUGGGGUAAAGGCCUACCAAGGCGACGAUCUGUAGCUGGUCUGAGAGGACGACCAGCCACACUGGAACUGAGACACGGCCCAGACUCCUACGGGAGGCAGCAGUGGGGAAUUUUGGACAAUGGGCGAAAGCCUGAUCCAGCAAUGCCGCGUGUGUGAUGAAGGCCUUCGGGUUGUAAAGCACUUUUGGCGGGAACGAAAAGGACUGUGCCAAUACCACGGUUCGAUGACGGUACCCGCAGAAUAAGCACCGGCUAACUACGUG